UACGUAGGGUGCGAGCGUUGUCCGGAAUUAUUGGGCGUAAAGCGCACGUAGGCGGUCCAGCAAGUCGGGUGUGAAAGCCCUCGGCUUAACCGAGGAAGUGCAUUCGAAACUACUGGACUUGAAUACUGAAGAGGAUCGCGGAAUUCCCGGUGUAGAGGUGAAAUUCGUAGAUAUCGGGAGGAACACCAGUGGCGAAGGCGGACGAUCUGGGCAGAUAUUGACGCUGAUGUGCGAAAGCGUGGGGAGCAAACAGG
rnacentral:rRNA from 1 species